CAAUAGCGUAUAUUAAAGUUGUUGCGGUAAAAAAGCUCGUAGUUGGAUUUCUACCGAAGAUAGCCGGUCGGGUCUUCGACCUUGUAUCUGGUUUUGUCUUUGGUAUCCUCAUAGGGAACGUUUCUGCGCUUUAUUGCGUGGUGCGGUAUCUAUGACUUUUACUUUGAGGAAAUUAGAGUGUUCACGGCAGGCAAACGCCUUGAAUAUAUUAGCAUGGAAUAAUAACAUAGGAUCUUCGUCCUAUUUUGUUGGUUUCUAGGGCUAAGAUAAUGAUUAAUAGGGAUAAUCGGGGGCAUCUGUAUCAACGCGUCAGAGGUGGAAUUCUUGGAUUGCGUUGCGACAAACUACUGCGAAAGCAUUUGCCAAGGAUGUUUUCAUUGA
rnacentral:rRNA from 1 species